GUUAUGUGCACGUUAAGAAUUUUAGCAUCUCCUAGUGGUUAGCUUGGAGACUGCGGUCAAGUGAAUUUUUAUGUGGUGUGGCUUGUAUUCCUAUUGGAUGUUUAGGGUCACAUGAGUGGGGUGAUACAAUAAGAGUUUCCUAUUGGAUGUUUAGAGUCACAUGAGUGGGGUAAUGCAGGAGGCCAUUUUAGUAUUGGGAUUUGCACAAUGAGGCGUACCAGAAGUCUCCCUGUUUAAUCCUUCAGCAUCCACCUGUGUUAUGCCAUGGAGAAGCUUUGUUUUUUCACAAGUUCUGGGAAAGCACUGUAAGAUGUACAUUGAUGAAGACAAAC